AGAGUUUGAUCAUGGCUCAGAACGAACGCUGGCGGCAGGCUUAACACAUGCAAGUCGAACGCAUCCUUCGGGGUGAGUGGCAGACGGGUGAGUAACGCGUGGGAACGUGCCCUUCAGUUCGGGAUAACCCAGGGAAACUUGGGCUAAUACCGGAUACGUGCGAGAGCAGAAAGAUUUAUCGCUGAAGGAUCGGCCCGCGUCUGAUUAGCUAGUUGGUGAGGUAAUGGCUCACCAAGGCGACGAUCAGUAGCUGGUCUGAGAGGAUGAUCAGCCACAUUGGGACUGAGACACGGCCCAAACUCCUACGGGAGGCAGCAGUGGGGAAUAUUGGACAAUGGGCGCAAGCCUGAUCCAGCCAUGCCGCGUGAGUGAUGAAGGCCUUAGGGUUGUAAAGCUCUUUCGUCCGGGACGAUAAUGACGGUACCGGAAGAAGAAGCCCCGGCUAACUUCGUGCCAGCAGCCGCGGUAAUACGAAGGGGGCUAGCGUUGUUCGGAAUCACUGGGCGUAAAGGGCGCGUAGGCGGCUUUAUAAGUCGGGGGUGAAAGCCUGUGGCUCAACCACAGAAUUGCCUUCGAUACUGUAGAGCUUGAGACCGGAAGAGGUAAGUGGAACUGCGAGUGUAGAGGUGAAAUUCGUAGAUAUUGGGAAGAACACCGAUGGCGGAGGCAGCCAUCUGGACCGACACUGACGCUGAGGCGCGAAAGCGUGGGGAGCAAACAGGAUUAGAUACCCUAGUAGUCC
rnacentral:rRNA from 1 species